rnacentral:lncRNA from 1 species
AGAUGCUUAGAAAGUGCUGAGACCUUUGUUGGUCUUACUGGAUCUCCGGAUCCUAGUUUCUUGAUAUGUUACAUAUUCUGGGUUCUAACCUGAACUGGCCUUCAUGAUUAAAGAUGCAUUUAUAUACUGUACACUGGCCAGGAAGCUUAUCUUUUGAAAUUUGUCCAAACUGGGUAUGAAGGCCCUUCCUAAAACCCCAUUAAAUUCAUUUCUAAACUCGAUGAUCGUCAAUUGUGUCAGUUGGUAUAUUCUGUCUUGUAGAGAGGUAUUUUGUAGUAAAUAACUUGUUUUUAAAACUAAAAUUUGCCUUUUAGUGAGGUGGUAAUCAUUUCAUAAUUCUUAGUUUUGUGAAGUGUCUAUAAAUCACACAUCUGAUCUUUUAAAAUGAAAGGCAAUUGAAUUUAUGUAAUGAUUCAGGCUUUUCAAAGUUAAAAAGGUAGUUAUUUUAAGGAAUGGAUAAUUGAUUAUAUUUAUUUUUUAUAAAAUAAGUUAUUGAUCUUAUACACAUAGCCAUGUAAGUAAAAUGUUUUCUUAUUUUAAAUUAGAUUCUGUUUUAACGUUGUUUUCAGUUUUGCUUUAUAUUUGACUUAUAUAUUUUAUAUUUAUCUUUGAUUGCUUUUUUUAUUCCUAAUUCUUCUAUUUUCUGUUCCGUUUUUAAAAGCUGAUGACUGUUGUUUGUCAAACCAGAGUUGGAUUUAAAGAUAAACAUUUAAUGUUAAUAAGCUCUCUGUUAGCGGCACUGCAGUGACAGAUGGUUGACAGUUUGUCCCUAAAGCUAUGGCACCAGUCUCCUAAUGGACUUAGCCUGUAUUCAGCCUGUGUAACCCUGGCAGAUUCUUUCUCUGUUUCAGAAUGGGACAACAGAGGAAGUGACUUCAGAGGAAGAGGAAGAAGAGGAGAUGGCUGAAGAUAUAGAAGACUGAGAUCACUGUGAGAUGAAAGAAGAGCCUAUUAGUGGGAAAAAGUUGGAGGAUGAAGGAAUUGAAAAAGAAAAUUUGGCAAUAUUAGAGAAAAUUAGGAAGACUGAAAGGCAAGACCAUUUGAAUGUGUAUGUAUUGGGUGGAGGAGCAUUAUGUAUGGAACUUCUCACAAAACAGGUGAUUAUUUUCUUAUAA